UGCAAGUCGCACGGGACGGGUAGCAAUACCCGUUCAGUGGCGGACGGGUGAGUAAUGUGUCGCUAACGUGCCCCGGACACCGGGAUAGCUGGGGGAAACCCCAGGUAAUACCGGAUGAGAUAACGGCCCUGCAUGGGGCGGUUCUCAAAGGGACCCUUAAAAGUCCGGUCCGGGAGCGGGCGACAUCGUAUCAGCUAGUUGGCGGGGUAACGGCCCACCAAGGCGACGACGCGUAGCGGGACUGAGAGGUCGGCCCGCCACAUUGGGACUGAGACACUGCCCAGACUCCUACGGGGGGCUGCAGUAACGAAUCUUCCGCAAUGCCCGCAAGGGGGAGCGGAGCGACGCCGCGUGGAGGACCAAGUCNUUCGGGGAUGUAAACUCCUGGUNAGGGGCCGCCAAGAAACUGAGGCGCCCCCAAAGGGAAGGCACGGCUAACUCUUGUGCCAGCA
rnacentral:rRNA from 1 species